rnacentral:rRNA from 1 species
AUACGUAGGUGACAAGCGUUAUCCGGAUUUACUGGGCGUAAAGGGCGUGUAGGCGGUCUUGCAAGUCAGAAGUGAAAUUCCUGAGCUCAACUCGGGCGCUGCUUCUGAAACUGCAGGACUUGAGUGCUGGAGGGGAUAGCGGAAUUCCUAGUGGAGCGGUAAAAUGCGCAGAUAUUAGGAAGAACACCGGUGGCGAAGGCGACUGUCUAGACAGAUACUGACGCUGGGGCGCAAAAGCGUGGGGAGUAAUCAGGAUUAGAUACCCGGGUAUUCCACGCCGUAAACGAUGAAUACUAGGGGUAGGGGGUAUCGACUCCCUCUGUGCCGCAGUUAACUCAAUAAGUAUUCCGCCUGGGGAGUACGGCCGCAAGGUUGAAACUUAAAGGAAUUGUCGGGG